CAGCAUCCUGCCCUAACAUCCUGAGAUGCGCAAAUCAUGUUUUCCUUAGAGGCUAAGACUGGGGCUAGCUCUGGGAUGAAUGUCCUCCUUUGUUUUCUUCUGUAGCUCUGCUUGCUUGACGUCACAGGUUGUAUAAAACAGGACCACUCUUUGGUCCAGGGCCCAGCCUCCUAUUGAGCUUUUCUAAUGGCACACCAUUGAUGUUCUCUUGGUCUCCCCAGUUUCUCGGAAAUUCUGCAACACUUGGAGAGCAGGACUUAUCCCCCAUUGAAAUUUAUAAGAUUAGACAGAACGCACGACCUUCACAGCACAAGAAUUGACCAUCAUUCAGGUGACAACCCACUGGACCUUGUGUGACAAAUUUUAAGAUUAUCUGCAGACUUUAUGACCAUCAGAGCUGUUGCAUGGCCAGAAUCCAGCUCCCUGCAGAACACGUUGAGCCAUUUAGCAAUGUACCUGACAGCACCUCGUCAUUAUCCUGGGAAGGCCUGCAGCAGGCCAUUCCUGGGGCUUGUCACCUACUUAACAGCCAGGGUUUUGUUCAAUCUCCUGAUAAUUUUAUCUUUACAAUGAUUCCUCUCCUAACAGUUAUAGUAUGUAUUCCUAUGGUUCAGGGAGAGGAGUACUGAGCUUAGCUACCUAAUCCGCCUCUGCUCAGACCCCUAACUUAGACAGACAAGCCACUAGAAAUUUUCCAGUCUAUAGAAAUCCAAAA